rnacentral:rRNA from 1 species
CGAACGGAAAGGCCCUGCUUGCAGGGUACUCGAGUGGCGAACGGGUGAGUAACACGUGGGUGAUCUGCCCUGCACUUCGGGAUAAGCUUGGGAAACUGGGUCUAAUACCGGAUAGGACCGCACUUUAGUGUGUGUGGUGGAAAGUUUUUUCGGUGUAGGAUGAGCUCGCGGCCUAUCAGCUUGUUGGUGGGGUAAUGGCCUACCAAGGCGGCGACGGGUAGCCGGCCUGAGAGGGUGUACGGCCACAUUGGGACUGAGAUACGGCCCAGACUCCUACGGGAGGCAGCAGUGGGGAAUAUUGCACAAUAGGCGCAAGCCUGAUGCAGCGACGCCGCGUGGGGGAUGAAGGCCUUCGGGUUGUAAACUCCUUUCGCUAGGGACGAAGCUUUUUGUGACGGUACCUAGAUAAGAAGCACCGGCUAACUACGUGCCAGCAGCCGCGGUAAUACGUAGGGUGCGAGCGUUGUCCGGAAUUACUGGGCGUAAAGGGCUCGUAGGUGGUUUGUCGCGUCGUCUGUGAAAUUCUGGGGCUUAACUCCGGGCGUGCAGGCGAUACGGGCAUAACUUGAGUGCUGUAGGGGUAACUGGAAUUCCUGGUGUAGCGGUGAAAUGCGCAGAUAUCAGGAGGAACACCGAUGGCGAAGGCAGGUUACUGGGCAGUUACUGACGCUGAGGAGCGAAAG